AUUUAUCCCGGUAAGGACCUGUGUUGUUGUGUUUUGGCAAUAAUCGACACUACAGCUGGUACUCAUUCAAUGCGCUGCGUUUGAAUUCAAAGAUACGUUUCUCUAAAAUUGCGUAAAAAAUAUUAACAGUUCUUCAAUUUCGCACAUAAUCUCGCUUCUUGGUUUCGAGUUUUAAUACGAAACAAGCACAAUGAGUCCUAAGCAUCUAAGCAAAGGAUCUAAGCUUCCUCCUCCAGUUCGUGGGAAAAUUCGUCUGUACAGCAAUCGUUUUUGCGCUUACGCGCAAAGGGUCCA